UACCAGACUCCUACGGGAGGCAGCAGUGAGGAAUAUUGGUCAAUGGGCGCGAGCCUGAACCAGCCAAGUCGCGUGAGGGAUGACGGCCCUACGGGUUGUAAACCUCUUUUGUCAGGGAGCAAUUGGCGCUACGUGUAGCGUUAUCGAGAGUACCUGAAGAAAAAGCAUCGGCUAACUCCGUGCCAGCAGCCGCGGUAAUACGGAGGAUGCGAGCGUUAUCCGGAUUUAUUGGGUUUAAAGGGUGCGUAGGCGGAAUGCCAAGUCAGCGGUAAAAUCGCGGGGCUCAACCUCGCUCCGCCGUUGAAACUGGCGUUCUUGAGUGGGCGAGAAGUAUGCGGAAUGCGUGGUGUAGCGGUGAAAUGCAUAGAUAUCACGCAGAACUCCGAUUGCGAAGGCAGCAUACCGGCGCCCAACUGACGCUGAAGCACGAAAGCGUGGGUAUCGAACAGGAUUAGAUACCCCAGUAU
rnacentral:rRNA from 1 species